rnacentral:rRNA from 1 species
GACGAACGCUGGCGGCGUGCUUAACACAUGCAAGUCGAACGGAAAGGCCCUGCUUUUGUGGGGUGCUUGAGUGGCGAACGGGUGAGUAACACGUGAGUAACCUGCACUUGACUUUGGGAUAACUUCAGGAAACUGGGGCUAAUACCGGAUAGGAGCUCCUGCUGCAUGGUGGGGGUUGGAAAGUUUCGGCGGUUGGGGAUGGACUCGCGGCUUAUCAGCUUGUUGGUGGGGUAGUGGCUUACCAAGGCUUUGACGGGUAGCCGGCCUGAGAGGUUGACCGGCCACAAUGGGACUGAGAUACGGCCCAGACUCCUACGGGCGGCAGCAGUGGGGAAUAUUGCACAAUGGGCGGAAGCCUGAUGCAGCAACGCCGCGUGCGGGAUGACGGCCUUCGGGUUGUAAACCGCUUUCGCCUGUGACGAAGCGUGAGUGACGGUAAUGGGUAAAGAAGCACCGGCUAACUACGUG